GACGAACCGUGCGAACGUUGUCCGGAAUUAUUGGGCGUAAAGGGCUCGUAGGCGGUUUGUCGCGUCGGGAGUGAAAACACCGGGCUUAACUCGGUGCUUGCUUUCGAUACGGGCAGACUGGAGGUAUGCAGGGGAGAACGGAAUUCCUGGUGUAGCGGUGAAAUGCGUAGAUAUCUGGAGGAACACCGGUGGCGAAGGCGGCAUCCUGGACCGACACUGACGCUGAGGAGCGAAAGCCAGGGGAGCAAACGGG
rnacentral:rRNA from 1 species